CAUCCUUAUAAUGGUUUUAGAAUUUAGUCUCUCUUGAGGCCGUUCCCAUUCUGUGUGGUCGCCGCCUUUUCCAUUUCCUCUCGUCGGCUGGUUUGGUACCUUGGAAUCAAAUUAUCAGUUAUUCAAUACGUUCAAUGUAAGUUAUAGGAGUAUUUACCAAACAACGAGUCUUCCUGUGAGCAUGAAGAAGAAGACAAGAGCCGGGGCGCAUCGGUCGAAUGGGUCGCCCACCAUCACGUGGGAGUACGCCGCCAGUAUCAUCAACAACACCAGACCCACGUUCGCCGUGUUCUUGAUUUUAUCUAUAAUAAUAUAAGACAUACAAUUUUCAAAUUUACAUAGAAUAUGUAUUAAAUAAACAUAGUUACAAACUCACGGCUCGGUAUUAUAGCCAAGGCUAGUCCGAACAGUAUCUCGAGCCCGCCGACGGUGCGGCGGUAGUAUUUGGAGGGUAGUUUGAAAUCCAACAUUUCUGUGAACGGGAAUACCUUAGCGUACCUCACAUACUCCUUUCUCUGCAAAAAUAUUUAUAAAAGAUUAUAUUGAACAUGGUUAUCCUAAUAACGCUUGAAAUAUAACUUAUGCGAAAACACAUCCUCUGCAGUGGAAUGCUAAAUUAAAGCGAGGUGAAGAUUUUGCUUUUCCCUAGAAACAGUUUAAAAAUUAAAUAUAUAUAUAAAUAUAUUUAAUAUAUAUAUGCAUUCAAAAUAAUUCAACAAAACUGAGUGUUGAAAAGGGAUAUUGUUUUCAUUCCAACAACAAAUACGCUACUUUUAGCCACAAUCAUUUCUACUGAAAUCUUAACGACAAUAACUCUUAACCCAGUAAUAAAAUUUGGUUGGUCAGAAAUAAAAAAAUUAGUAUGAUAAAAAAAACAAAUAUAAAAUGUCCAGCUCCGAAAACACCGUCGUCACAAUAUUUUUUCAUAAUAAAAACAAUUUUUAUUACGCUUUAGUGUAAAGAGAAAGCAGUCUCUGAUCCAACUGAUAAAAUUGUCUUUUAAGUGUCUGAUUAAUUAUAGAAUCGCUCUUAAAAUUAUAUGCCAUAUAAUCCUGUCUCUUCCAUAUUUAUUUUUUGGGCAACUCUUACUAGCAAACGUCAGCAAAGGAAGAUGCCUUCGGUACCAAGUGUCUUAAAGAACGAGUAUUGCCGUGUACAAACGAUGUCUUAUGUAGAAAUCAGCAUAUGGCACAUCUGUUGAAAAAUGUGUUGCUUUUUCCCAAAAUUUAAUUAAGGAUUAAGAUUGAGGAAUAUAUAAAAGAUAGCAAAUCAGAUCUCUUUGGAAUGUAAGUAACGCUAGUUAAUAAUAAAUGUUUACUAAACUGAAUACUGAACAUAACGAAGCAAACAUAACGAAGCUUUAAACAAAAACUCUUUAGUGGAAAUAGCGAAUCGAUAGAAAAUUCGUAUUGAUUGCUUUUGUUGUCAUUAAGCUUACAGUAGCGACAAAACUUCAUACAAAUUUUUACUAACAUGUUUCGAUCAGCUCUAGAUGAAAUAGCACUUUAAUAUAUAAUGUGUGAUACAUUGGCUUAAUAAAAAUAUUCAUAAAGUGCCAUUAAAACCGUUUAUUUUUAGUAGGUACAUCGCUUUGAUAUUGAGCAUUGUUCUGUUUAUUAACUACAAUAGGGUUUUGGUUAUAUAACGUGCACACCAUUAUGACUACAUUAUAGGUACAUUUUUGUUACAGAAUGGGAAUCAAUAUCAAUAUAUUUAUUGAAAGAAAAACUGGUCCGCAUGGUAUAAGACGCAUAAUUUCAGAACUAUGAUAAAUUAAUAUUUGUUGUAUUAUUUAUUAUAUAAGGAAUAUAUAUUUAGUAGGCUAAUAUAAGCAAAAACUUUUCAAUUUCAUAAGUCAUUACUUGAAAACUAGAGGAUAGAUGUGAAACUAAUGAAGAAAGUAGUUAAAAAGAACUAGUGACGAUAAAUGAUACUGCGAAGCUGAGAAUGCAUAAUUAUGUAUAUACAUGUUUUAACUUUUAACCAUUACAUUAAUAAAUAAUAGUGUGCAUUAAAUCGAAUCAUUUCUGCUGUCGCAACGAGACAGCACUACUGGGCAUUAGGCGUCAGGCCAAAUACCAAAAUAGAAAGCCACAUUGCUCCGCAACGAAAAAUGUAUUGCAAUAAGCGACUUUUUUGUUUUAUAUUCAGUAAUACUAGAAUGAGGAUCGGGUUAUAACAUUAAACUUACCAGAUCUUUAUGUAAUUCUUUUGAAAUUAAAGGUGUUAGCUUGGUUAUGCCAACAAAAAUAAAAAAGAUUCCCAAAAGUA